UGGGGAAUAUUGGACAAUGGGCGCAAGCCUGAUCCAGCCAUGCCGCGUGUGUGAUGAAGGCCUUAGGGUUGUAAAGCACUUUCGCCGAUGAAGAUAAUGACUGUAGUCGGAGAAGAAGCCCCGGCUAACUUCGUGCCAGCAGCCGCGGUAAUACGAAGGGGGCAAGCGUUGUUCGGAUUUACUGGGCGUAAAGCGUACGUAGGCGGAUGAUUAAGUCAGGGGUGAAAUCCCGGGGCUCAACCUCGGAACUGCCUUUGAUACUGGUCGUCUUGAGUCCGGGAGAGGUGGGUGGAACUCCUAGUGUAGAGGUGAAAUUCGUAGAUAUUAGGAAGAACACCAGUGGCGAAGGCGGCUCACUGGCCCGGAACUGACGCUGAGGUACGAAAGCGUGGGGAGCAAACAGGAUUAGAUACCCUGGUAGUCCACGCCGUAAACGAUGGAUGCUAGCCGUCGGGGAGCUUGCUCUUCGGUGGCGCAGCUAACGCAUUAAGCAUCCCGCCUGGGGCAGUACGGUCGCAAGAUUAAAAUCUCAAAGU
rnacentral:rRNA from 1 species